UCUACGGGUGGCAGCAGUGAGGAAUAUUGGUCAAUGGUCGGGAGACUGAACCAGCCAAGCCGCGUGAGGGAUGAAGGUACAGAGUAUCGUAAACCUCUUUUGUCAGGGAACAAAGGCGGGGACGUGUCCCCGGAUGAGUGUACCUGAAGAAAAAGCAUCGGCUAACUCCGUGCCAGCAGCCGCGGUAAUACGGAGGAUGCGAGCGUUAUCCGGAUUUAUUGGGUUUAAAGGGUGCGUAGGCGGUCUGUUAAGUCAGCGGUCAAAGCCCGGGGCUCAACCCCGCCCCGCCGUUGAAACUGGCAGUCUUGAGUUGGAGAGAGGUAUGCGGAAUGCGCGGUGUAGCGGUGAAAUGCAUAGAUAUCACGAAGAACUCCGAUUGCGAAGGCAGCCUACUAAACUGCCACUGACAUUGAUGCUCGAAAGUGUGGGUAUCAAACAGGAUUAGAUACCCCUGUAGUC
rnacentral:rRNA from 1 species